rnacentral:rRNA from 1 species
AGAGUUUGAUCCUGGCUCAGAAUAAAUGCUAUCGGUAUGCUUAACACAUGCAAGUCGAAUGUUUUAAAAACAUGGCGAACGGGUGAGUAACACGUGAAUUAUCUACCUUUUAAUUCAGGAUAAUUAUUUUAUAAAAAUACUGAAUAAAUAUAUUAAAGUUUUAAACGUUAAAAGAUGAGUUUGCGCAAGAUUAUGGUAGUUGGUAGUUUAAUAGACUACCAAGCCUAUUAUCUUUAGCUGGUUUGAAAGAAUGAUCAGCCACAUUGGGACUGAGACACGGCCCAAACUUUUUUAAAGGCAGCAGUGGGGAAUUUUGGACAAUGAGCGAAAGCUUGAUCCAGCAAUACCGAGUGAGUGAUGACGGCUAAUUAGGUUGUAAAGCUCUUUCAUUAAGGAGGAAAAUGACAGUACUUAAAAAAGAAGUUCCGGCUAAUACCCGUGCCAGCAGCCGCGGUAAUACGGGAGGAGCGAGCAUUAUUCGGAAUGAUUAGGCGUAAAGGGUUUGUAGGUGGUUUUUUAAGUUGAAAGAAACAAAUUAAAGCUCAACUUUAUACAUUUUUUCAAAACUGAUAAACUGGAGUAUAAAUAGAGGAUAAUGGAAUUUCUAUUGGAGUGAUAAAAUACGUUGAUAAUAGAAGGAAGACCUAUGGCGAAGGCAAUUAUCUGGGUAUAUACUGACACUGAGAAACGAAAGCUUGGGUAGCGAACGGGAUUAGAGACCCCGGUAGUCCAUGCUGUAAACGAUGAGUGCUAAUAUUUAGAAUUUUUAGAUAUAACAGCUAACGCGUUAAGCACUCCGCCUGAAAAGUAUAAUCGCAAGAUUGAAAUUCAAAGGAAUUGACGGGAGUCUACACAAGCGGUGGAGCAUGUGGUUUAAUUCGAUAAUACGCGCAGAACCUUACCAACUCUUGCUAAUUUUUAUAUAAAAUUUUAUAUAAA